GAUGAAGAACGUAGCGAAAUGCGAUAAGUAAUGCGAAUUGCAGAAUCCGUGAGUCAUCGAAUCUUUGAACGCACAUUGCGCCCUUUGGUAUUCCGAAGGGCAUGCCUGUUCGAGCGUCAUUAUCACCCCUCAAGCCCCGGCUUGGUGUUGGGCUCUCGGUGGUCGUCUCCGACCACCCGUCUCAAAGAUAGUGACGGCGUCCCAGAGGGAACCGGUACGAGGAGCUUUCACGAGCAUGUACGCGGGACGACUCUGCGGGCGACGGUCUUAUUUACUUUAUAUACCAGUGUUGACCUCGGAUCAGGUAGGAAUACCCGCUGAACUUAAGCAUAUCAAUAAGCGGAGGA
rnacentral:misc_RNA from 1 species